GUCCAGGGAUGGUGCCUAGUGGACAUGGCAUCUGCCCGGUAAGCGGAACACUGUGGGUUCGUUUCCCAACUCUGGACA